AAAGCCAAUUUGACAUUUGCGCAGUGCUCUCUAUUACCUCCCUCUCUCUAUUACCUCUCUAUUACCUCCCUCUCUCUCUAUUACCUUUCUAUUACCUCCCCCUCUGUCUAUUACCUCUCUAUUACCUCCCUCUCUGUCUAUUACCUCUCUAUUACCUCCCUCUCUGUCUAUUACCUCCCUCUCUGUCUAUUACCUCUCUAUUACCUCCCUCUCUGUCUAUUACCUCCCUCUCUGUCUAUUACCUCCCUCUUACCUCCCUCUCUCCCUCCCUCUUACCUCCCUCUCUCCCUCUUACCUCCCUCAGUCUAUUACCUCCCUCUGUCUAUUACCUCCCUCUGUCUAUUACCUCCCUCUGUCUAUUACCUCCCUCUGUCUAUUACCUCCCUCUGUCUAUUACCUCUACCUCUCUCUCUCUACCUCUCUCUCUCUACCUCUACCUCUCUCUCUCUACCUCUCUCUCUCUACCUCUACCUCUCUCUACCUCUACCUCUCUCUCUCUACCUCUCUCUCUCUACCUCUACCUCUCUCUCUCUACCUCUACCUCCCUCUCUCUCUAUUACCUUUCUAUUACCUCCCCCUCUGUCUAUUACCUCUCUAUUACCUCCCUCUCUGUCUAUUACCUCUCUAUUACCUCCCUCUCUGUCUAUUACCUCCCUCUCUCUCUCUACCUCUACCUCCCUCUCUCUCUACCUCUACCUCCCUCUCUCUCUACCUCUACCUCUCUCUCUACCUCUACCUCCCUCUCUCUCUACCUCUACCUCCCUCUACCUCCCUCUCUCUCUACCUCUCUACCUCCCUCUCUCUCUCUACCGCUCUCUCUCUAACGCUCUCCCUAUUACCUCUCUCUCCACCUCUCCCUAUUACCCCUCUCUCUCUCUCCACCUCUCCCUAUUACCCCUCUCUCUCUCUCCACCUCUCCCUAUCACCCCUCUCUCUCUCUCUCUACCUCUACCUCUCUCUCUCUACCUCUACCUCUCUCUCUCUACCUCUACCUCCCUCUCUCUCUACCUCUACCUCCCUCGCUCUCUACCUCUAACUCCCUCUCUCUCUACCUCUACCUCCCUCUCUCUCUACCUCUACCUCCCUCUCUCUCUACCUCCCUCUCUCUCUACCUCCCUCUCUCUCUACCUCCCUCUCUCUCUACCUCCCUCUCUCUCUACCGCUCUCUCUCUACCGCUCUCCCUAUUACCUCUCUCUCCACCUCUCCCUAUUACCCCUCUCUCUCUCCACCUCUCCCUAUUACCCCUCUCUCUACACCUCUCCCUAUCACCCCUCUCUCUCUCUCUCUCUCUCUCUCUCUCUCCCUAUCACCCCUCUCUCUCUCUCCACCUCUCCCUAUCACCCCUCUCUCUCUCUCUACACCUCUCCCUAUCACCCCUCUCUCUCUCUCUACACCUCUCCCUAUCACCCCUCUCUCUCUCUCUCUACACCUCUCCCUAUCACCCCUCUCUCUCUCUCUCUACACCUCUCCCUAUCACCCCUCUCUCCACCUCUCCCUAUUACCCGUCUCUCUACACCUCUCCCUAUCACCCCUCUCUCUCUCUCUACACCUCUCCCUAUUACCCCUCUCUCUAUACCUCUCCCUAUUACCUCUCUCUCUCUCUCCACCUCUCCCUAUCACCCCUCUCUCUCUCUCCACCUCUCUCUCUCUCUCUCCCUAUUACCCAUCUCUACACCUCUCCCUAUUACCCCUCUCUCUACACCUCUCCCUAUUACCUCUCUCACCCCUCUCUCCCUCUCUCUCUCUCACCCCUCUCCCUCUCUCUCUCUCUAUUACCCCUCUCUCACCCUCUCUAUUACCCCUCUCUCACCCUCUCUAUUACCCCUCUCUAUUACCCCUCUCUCACCCUCUCUAUUACCCCUCUCUAUUACCCCUCUCUCAGCCUCUCUAUUACCCCUCUCUCACCCUCUCUAUUACCCCUCUCUCUCUCUCUCUCCCUAUUACCCCCCUCUCUCUCUCUCUACCUCUCUACCUCUCUACCUCUCCCUAUUACCCCCCUCUCUCUCUCUCUCUCUCUCUACCUCUCCCUAUUACCCCCUCUCUCUCUCUACCUCUCCCUAUUACCCCUCUCUACCUCUCCCUAUUACCCCUCUCUCUCGCUCUCUCUCCCCCUAUUACCCCUCUCUCUCUCUCUAUGUAUUACCUCUCUCUAUGUAUUACCUCUCUCUCUCUCUGACCAACUCACUGACUCGCUGGCUGCCUGA
rnacentral:lncRNA from 8 species